UUGCUUCCAUGUUCUGAUUCUGUGUGUGAAGAUGAAGACACAGAGAAUGAUGCUGAUUCAUAAUAAUAUUACAAUUUUUACAUGAUGUGUACUUGUCUGAUCCUAAGCUGAAUCCGUGUUCUAAGCCUGCACCUAGGGCCUCAUCAAUUGAUCCUAGAAAAUUGACAGAGUAAGGGAAAACUUGAGCUUGAUUUACCAAUGGUUCUGCACCAUACUCAAGGCACUACCUGCGAGUGGGCAGCUGAAGCACCACAGCCUCUCUCUAGGACAUCCCUGAUAGAUGGUGAUGAAGGUAAGUCCUUCCAAUGUAAAUAAUUUGGGGUACUGAACCUGGUUAUGUGCUUUGCUUGGAAAGAGAAAAGACUAGAUGAGCAAUUAUAUACCAACUUCUGGGCUGUCAUCAAUGGUUUGGUUGGAUGGUCAGAGGUUUGAAAGCGCAUGAUUUCCCUAUUGCUAACAAAGAAAUCUGGGGAUGAGGUAUGUGGAUAGACCAUUCUGAAUGGGGAAAAAAGUGAAGAUAUUUGUAUUCUGUGUGAAUUCCCAAAAAGAGAGACCACAGAAGAGGAGGAUUUUAAUAAUUAAGUAGAUAGAAUGAUCUUUUCUGUGGAACCCAGCCAUCCUAUUUCUCCAGCCACUUCUGUCAUUGCAUAAUGGACUCAUGAAUAACAUGGCCAAGGUGACAGGGGUAGAAGUUAUGAAUGUGCUCAGCAAUGUGGAAUUUCACCCCACAAGGCAGACUAGGCUAUGGCCUCCACUGAGUGCCCAAUAUGGGAGUAGCAGGGAGCAACACUGUGCCCCCAGUACGGCACCGCUUUCCAGGGUGAUCAUCCAGCUACCUGUUGGCAAGUUGGUUACAUUAGAUCACUUCUAACAUAAGAGAGACAUUGCUUUAUCCUAACUGGAAUAGACACUGACUCUGUAUAAGAAUUUACCUUUCCUGCAUGAAAUGCUUCUGUUAAAACUCCCAUCCAUGGACUUACAGUAUGCUUUAUCCAUUGUCAUAGUAUUACACACUGUUGCUUUUAAACAAGGAAAUCAUUUCACAACUAAAAAAGUGUGACAGUGGACUGAUACUUAUGGAAUUCACUAGUUUUACCAUGUUUCACACUAUCCUAAAGCAGCUGCCUUGAUAGAAUGUGGAUUUGCCUUUUGAAGACUCUGUUACAGCACCAGAGUAAAUACGUCAAGAAGAGAGUUACAGAAUUGGCAGAGAUGACUGAUAUGGACUACCAAUGGAAAACUAGAAUACCACUCUACAAUGGAAGUAAGUAAGAGUAUGUCCAGAAUACAGGAGCUCAUUUAGGUCUUGUCUUAAUAUUACCAUGUCCUGUGACUAAUGUCAAUGGCGAGCUCUAACAACCCAAUCUGGGGAAGACAAAUAAAGGUGCAGACCUUUCAAGAAUAAAAGUUGUGAUUACCACACCAGCUAAAGAAAGAACUAUAAGCAGCUAAGUAUCUUGCUGAAGGCAAAUGUAAUACAGAAUGAGUGGGAGAAGGUAAUUAUGAACACUAGCUAUGACCACAUGACCAGUUAUAGAACAGAAAACUGUAACUGUCAUGAGUAUUUCCUUCUUAUGUUAUAAAUAAAUGUGUAUUUAUAUACAUGUAUUAAUUAUUUAUCUUUGUUUUCUUUCUUCUCUUGUUUCCUUAUCAUGUAACAUAAGAUGCGUUAUUUUAAAUACGUUUUUAAGAGUUUUAGUUUUACAUCAUAUUAAGUUGCAGGGCAUCAGAUGAAGACUGAACAUCACUUAAAGACGACUUUUCCUGAAGAUGGUAGUGGUGUAUUUUCAGUUGUAUACAGGUUAGUUACAUCAUAUUAGGCAGAAUCAUUAGCUUCUCCUUGUCUUUAUUUGUAGAUUAUCAUUUAAGGAAAUGCAUAUGAGUAUCAAGUUGAAAAGGGAUGGCCUGGUGAUGGUUAAUUGUAGGUGUAAACUUGACUGGACAAAGUGAUGCCCAAAAGCUGAUAAAACAUUUUUUUCUCUGUGUUUCUGAAAAUGAUUAGCAUUGAAUCAGGAGACUAAGUAAAAACAGUCCACCUUCACCAAUGUGGGCAGGCAUUAUGCCAUCUGUUAAAGGCCCAAAUAUAACAAAAACUCAGAGCAAAUUUCCUCUUCGCUUUUCUUGACCUGUAACAUCCACCUUAUUCCCUUAAAUAUCAGAGGUGCUGAUUCUUCAGCCUGUGGAUUCUAAGACUUACAACCCUACCCCCAGUUCUCAGGCCUGUGGCCUCAGAUUGGAUGACACUAUUGUCACUCUUGUUCCUCAGGUCAUUGGGAUUGAAUUACACCAAUGGCUUUCCUGGUUCUCCAGUUGGCAGACAGCAUGUUAUGAAAUAUUUUGGCCUCUAUAAUUAUGUGAGCCAAUUCCUACGAUAAAUUUUCUCU